rnacentral:rRNA from 1 species
AGUGAACGCUGGCGGUAGGCCUAACACAUGCAAGUCGAACGGCAGCACAGUAAGAGCUUGCUCUUACGGGUGGCGAGUGGCGGACGGGUGAGGAAUACAUCGGAAUCUACUUUUUCGUGGGGGAUAACGUAGGGAUACUUACGCUAAUACCGCAUACGACCUACGGGUGAAAGCAGGGGAUCUUCGGACCUUGCGCGAUUGAUUGAGCCGAUGUCGGAUUAGCUAGUUGGCGGGGUAAAGGCCCACCAAGGCGACGAUCCGUAGCUGGUCUGAGAGGAUGAUCAGCCACACUGGAACUGAGACACGGUCCAGACUCCUACGGGAGGCAGCAGUGGGGAAUAUUGGACAAUGGGCGCAAGACUGAUCCAGCCAGACCGCGUGGGUGAAGAAGGCCUUCGGGGUGUAAAGCCCUUUUGUUGGGAAAGAAAAGCAGCAGGUUAAUACCCAGCUGUUCUGACGGUACCCAAAGAAUAAGCACCGGCUAACUUCGUG